ensembl:snoRNA
CUUAAGAGCCAAUGAUGUUUUUACUCAAAAUGUCUGAACCUGUCUGAAGCAUCCUAGUGAUGCAACCUGUGUCAUACUGAGGCUUUUUUUGCCA